GAGCGCGCCCGCCUCCAUGUGUGCGCAGGAAUGCACAUGCAGAUGGGCUAUACCCUGCCACGCACACCUACCGCUGCGGCUGUUUCCUGAGAGACUGCGAGACAGAAGAAAGGCAGGAGACAUCACAUGACCGAACCUUGGGAGGUUCAAAAUAAUAUCAAGAGAUAAGGCCUUGAGCGAAUUAUUUGGGUGGUCUGCCAAGAUGCCGCACCACCACUGUCCUUGUGCGAGUUUUUCAGUGAAGGACGCUGUGAGAAGGUCAGUUGAAUUCAUUGUCAUCUUGCAAGUAUGGGAUAAGCAGAUCAUCUAAUAGUCUCUUGUAAUGUACAACUCAGAGAUAUAAAUUAAUUCUGAGUUUCAUAAAGGUAGUAUUUGACAAGCCUCUCUGCAAAUUAGAGGGAGUUUUCUGGAAGAUUCCUAGACCAAGACACAUUGACAAAGCGAGAAUGUUACUCAGGGGAAUAAGAUAACAAAGUAUCCACUUUGUAGACACAGCAUGAAAUUAGUUCCAUGCAAAUCAGUGCACUAUUAUAUCUUUUAAAAUAUUCCUCUCUGCCAUAAAAUCACAUUUACAGAAAAAAGAAAGAAAAUAACCACACAAACCCCUAUGCUUUUAAAGACAUUUCAACAGAACAAGAAGAUGACUUAUGGUAUUUUAUAAACGCUCAUCAAAUGAAAGAGGAAUAUCCCUUUGCAUACUGAUUGGUUGGAAUAGAAUACAGAGAAGAAGAAGCACAUCUUCAAUAAAAGUAAAUCUAGGAGGUAAGGGUGUAUACAACAUGUAUGACCGGUCAAGGGACAGCUCUCUCAGGGUGUAAAGACUCCAACAGGGGAGAAGGAAACGGGAAAUUCAAGGAAAAUGUCAGAGUGGCAGUGGGGUACUGAGGAAUGUGCAUGAACACUGAGGCGAAAUGUUUUCUGGAAAGCAGCUAAGAACAGGGCAAAAUAUAAAAUACAGGGACAGUGGGAGGCACCACUGUAAGAAAUAGCUAAAAGGAGACAGAUGCUGUCACCACUCCUGUUAAGGCAUUGCUUUGCCUUUUGAGUAAGGCCAGUGCUGUCAAGGUAUUGCAUUACUUUUGGAAAAGAUGCAAAGUGGAAAACCCUUAGUAUUCUGUCAUUUAAAAAUGCGUGGCAUGCCUUGUAAUGGUUGUUUACCCUUUCAUUACUGUCUGAAUUUCAAUUCUAAUAAAGUACAUUCUGCCUAUAA